AAUUAUGGAGAGUUUGAUCCUGGCUCAGAAUGAACGCUGGCGGCGUGCUUAACACAUGCAAGUCGAACGGUAACAGAGAGAAGCUUGCUUCUCUGCUGACGAGUGGCGCACGGGUGAGUAAUAUAUAGGUAAUGUGCCCCUUGGACCGGGAUAGCCACUGGAAACGGUGAUUAAUACUGGAUACUCCUUCUAAACAGAAGUUUAGUCGGGAAAUGGAUUCCGCCAAGGGAUCGGCCUAUAUCCUAUCAGUUAGUUGGUGAGGUAAGAGCUCACCAAGACAAUGACGGGUAGCGGGUUUGAGAGGAUGAUCCGCCACACUGGUACUGAGACACGGACCAGACUCCUACGGGAGGCAGCAGUGAGGAAUAUUGCACAAUGGGGGAAACCCUGAUGCAGCAACGCCGCGUGGAGGAUGACGCAUUUCGGUGUGUAAACUCCUUUUAUAUGUCAAGAAAAUGACGGUAGCAUAUGAAUAAGCACCGGCUUACCCCGCACAAGCAGCCGCGGUAGUAC
rnacentral:rRNA from 1 species